rnacentral:rRNA from 1 species
UACGAAGGGUGCAAGCGUUACUCGGAAUUACUGGGCGUAAAGCGUGCGUAGGUGGUUCGUUAAGUCUGUCGUGAAAGCCCCGGGCUCAACCUGGGAAUGGCGAUGGAUACUGGCGGGCUAGAGUGCGGUAGAGGAGAGUGGAAUUCCCGGUGUAGCAGUGAAAUGCGUAGAGAUCGGGAGGAACAUCAGUUGCGAAGGCGGCUCUCUGGACCAGCACUGACACAGAGGCACGAAAGCGUGGGGAGCAAACAGG